rnacentral:piRNA from 1 species
UUGGUUCUAACAGUUGUCCUGGGC